GCCAUGUCUAGAGUAGGAGGUGGAUGGCGGCUCCAUCUUGGGGAGUGAGUGGGUCUGCGGGUAUGAAUGGAGCUGGGAGAUCUACCAGCCUGAAUAACAAAGGGAGACACCCACACCCAAGGACUUGCUAGUGUCACAGCUGGGGUCUAAGUCUACAGGGGAGGGUGUGCCUCUCACAGUUCCCUUCUAAAUCCUCAGAGCCCCUUUUGGCAUCUGCGUUGAACACUCUGCUCUCUCUUGACCCCCAAUCCAUUGCAAGAAGCCAGUAAACACUCAGAAGAAGUCUGUCAGUCCAGCUCUAUAGUGGUUUUAGUAAUCCACUAUCAGAUGCUAGGUUUUGAAGUGACAUUGGGGAUUUAAAGGAUUCUGUCCCUUGUGGAUGAAGUUGACUGCACUUGAAUGAACAAUGAUGUAUGAAGACCUUUAAAAAGAGCAGCACCCAUGAUAGAACUUCAGCACUAUUUUGAGCAUCAAACCCUUCAGGAUGAAAUGGAGCAGACUUCACUAAGUCAAAUGGGAACACAGGUAUACACCAUCCAGCUCUAUUUAAACACCAGAGAUGCACAAAGAAGAAGAAUAUAUAUGAGCUUACAUAAUGAGGUUUUAGUGAGAUUUCAUGAACAAGUCAAGCCAAAUCAGCAAGAAUUGACUGAGCACUCUAAGUGCAAGAGUGUUGAUGAAAAUGCUGAAUUCACUGUAGGACCUAGAAAGCUGUUCUAUUCACAGAGAAAUACUCCAGCCUCCAGGUUUGGUCCCAGAGGACUUGAAGGAGAUGGUAUGGUCCAAUGUGAGAUGGUCCCAUUGGACCCUGCCAUCAUUAAAGCAUCUUGGGAGUCCUGUUGGAGCACUUAGGCAAAGAUGAGAACUGAGUGGAAAGCAGGAAAUUUGCUGUGAAAGGCUUAGUCCAAAAAUAUCAAACGGUUGGCCUAGAAUAAUUUUUCCCCCAAAUUGAAGUUCAGUAAAUCAAUUAGUGAAUCACAACCCUACAUAUUUUUUUUAAAAAUAAUGUCUAUAGAAGAGCAUGGUUUUCUUUAAAAAAAAAAAAAAAGCAUAUCACAAAUAGCCUAAACUUAUUUCAUAAAAUGUGUAUUAAAAUUAGGAAGGGGUAGGGCCGGGGAUUUAGCUCAAUGGUUCCGCCACCUGCCUUGCAAGCGGAAGGACCCGAG
rnacentral:lncRNA from 1 species